GCCGCCUCUCGUCAGUCGUUGCCACUGUUUUGCGCGGCUACGACCUACCUCCAUCCCGGCGCACCGCCCCUCACCACUCCCCUGCGGUCCUCUGUCCCGGUGCGCUGUCCCUCACCACCCCCUGUGAUCCUUUGUCCCGGUGCGCCGUCCCUCGACACCACUCUUGUGCGACCCUGCAUCCUGGCGCGCCGCCCCUCGUCACCGCUCCCCUAAGACCAACGAUGGAUCCAAGGUAUGGACACGCACACCAAGCCUGCCAACAAGUUUGAGAUUUUUUUGACAAGCACACGCAACCGUAUCACUCGUUCCAUCCAGCAACAGUAGCAGCCGUGCCGGCCACCGGCGGAUCCAUGUUAGGUCGUGUGUGUACAUCUGUACAUCCAAUUUAUUUUGCAGGUAUAGUAGACAUUAUGUAUUAAUAGCAGUGUCGGUGUUGUUUGAGCAAGGAACAUCACGUCAAUUCAUAUAACCUGGGUCUCAAACUCUACUCCAACAAGCAUCUCAGUUUAAAAGUACCUCCUGCAAUUCCCAGUUGGUCCAUCGCCACUAGCCCCAAAGCCUAAUACAAGGGUUAGUGUUGCUAGCUUCAUCACCUUGCUGGUACAGAAGGUCAUGAUUAACAUCAAGCCAUACAUGGUGAUGUUACUGAAAUUACUUUACACUCCUGUUCUGGAGGAAAGGAGUUCUGCAGCCAACAGGGCCUUUGCGUCUUCUUGUGCUGCAGUUCUCAAAUAUGCCAGCCAAUCUCAGGCUCAGAAACUUAUUAAAGACACUGCUUCUCUGCAUUUAGGGUGGCAAAGCAUUGAUGAAUAUGGUGUCCGCCAAAGGUUUAUGGCCCUGUUUGACAGUAGGUUUUAUUGUUGUUCGUCUGCAUGCUCUUCGAUUCAAGCAGUCUUCUCCAUUAUUGGAGAACACAAGGAUUAAGUCCUGCUUCCACUUAUGAUGUGGGAUGAAGGUUUUGUGUGUAGCUCUGACCAAACUACAACCCCUCCAAAGUCAGAUGCUGGCAUUUAAGUUCGUUCUUCAUCAGUUUUAAUGCCAAGUAUUCAUCAGUUUUAUGUAUCCAACCCGGUCAACUAAGUUCCAAGUCUUUUCAUCAGAUGGUGCUACAUAUUUGUUUGUUGGUCAUGGACCUCAACAAUCCAGCGUUUCCCAUAUGUUGGUGUCUGAUCGAGGUAGGAACUAAAGUGUUCUUGAAGAGCCUACAAAAUCAUAACGGAGAUGCAGUUCUUGCUACAGUUGUAAGUUGUAAUCCUAAAUUUAAACUUGAUGGUGCUGAACUUACAAAUAAAUAAUGGGAAGUGCAUGUCGAUACGGCACUUGUGAAAACUUAAGUCUUGGUACGAAGUCGCAAAAACUGCAAUAUUCGUGGUAAUGCAGGAAAAACAAAGAUUGUAUGGCCUUCAACCCUUU